AGGCCCAGAGACAGAAGCAGGGUCUGAUCCGCAGCCUCCAUAGUAGCUAUUGAUCAGCCCUUGCCUCUCUCUCUCUCUCUC
rfam:Myotis lucifugus cont2.28116, whole genome shotgun sequence.